rnacentral:rRNA from 1 species
CCUACGGGAGGCAGCAGUAGGGAAUAUUGCUCAAUGGUCGAAACCCUGAACCAGCAACGCCGCGUGGGGGAGGAAGGUAUUGGGAUUGGUAACUCUCUUUUGUAGAGGAAAUUAUGACGGUAUCUAACGAAUAAUCAGUGUAUAAGUCCGUGCCAGCAGCCGUGGUAAUAAGGAGGGUGCAAGCGUUAAUCGGAAGCACUGGGCGUAAAGAGUGCGUAGGGGGGGUAAUAAGUCAGAUGUGAAAUCCUGUAGCUUAAGUACAGAACUGCAUUUGAAACGGUUACUCUGGAGUGUGGGAGAGGUAGGUGGAAUUCUUGGUGUAGGGGUAAAAUCCGUAGAGAUCGAGAGGAAUACUCAUUGCGAAGGCGACAUGCUGGAACCUUACUGACGCUGAUGCACGAAAGCGUGGGGAGCAAACAGGAUUAGAUACCCCUGUAGUC